ensembl:lncRNA
GUGUUGCUAUGCGGUUGCUAGGGUGUUCUGGGUGGUUGCUAGGUGGUUGCUAGGCAGUUGCUAAGGUACUUGGGGUGGUUGCUAAGGUGUUGCUAGGCGGUUGCUAAGGUGUUCUGAGUGGUUGCUAGGUGGUUGCUAUGGUAACCUGGGUGGUUGCUAGGCAGUUGCUAAGGUACUUGGGGUGGUUGCUAAGGUGUAUCUAUCCGGUUGCUAGGGUGUUCUGGGUGGUUGCUAGGCAGUUGCUAAGGUACUUGGGGUGGUUGCUAAGGUGUUGCUGGGUGGUUGCUAGGCGGUUGCUAUGGUAACCUGGGUGGUUGCUAGGCGGUUGCUAGGC